CCUACGGGCGGCAGCAGUGAGGAAUUUUCGUCAAUGGGGGCAACCCUGAACGAGCAACGCCGCGUGCAGGAAGAAGGUUUUCGGAUCGUAAACUGCUUUUCUCGGGGAAGAGAACGGACGGUACCCGAGGAAGAAGCCCCGGCUAACUACGUGCCAGCAGCCGCGGUAAUACGUAGGGGGCAAGCGUUGUCCGGAUUUAUUGGGCGUAAAGCGCACGCAGGCGGUCUCUUACGUUUUGAGUGACAGGUGGUGGCUCAACUGCCACAGGCCUUGAAAUACGGGGAGACUUGAGGACUUCAGAGGGAUGCUGAAUUCCAGGUGGAGCGGUGAAAUGCGUAGAGAUCUGGAAGAACACCAAUGGCGAAGGCAGCAUCCUGGGAAGUAUCUGACGCUCAGGUGCGAAAGCUAGGGGAGCGAACGGGAUUAGAUACCCGAGUAGUC
rnacentral:rRNA from 1 species